GAUAGUGUCUAUUUAUUUUUGGGUUGCCAAUUGGCGUGAAAUUAAUCUUAGUGAGCUCUUAUUUCACUGUCAAUAAAAGCAGCAAACCAUUUCAAAAUAAAAACAUAAAAAGUGAUUGUUGAUUGAACAUGCAGUUUUUCUGUACUCUGUUUUUUAAUAAACUUUUUUAUACAAACAUUUUUGCCAAACAGUUUUGCUAGUUUUUAAUACCAUACUGAGGCAAGGAAUCACAUUAUCUUACCAAAAACAAGAGCGCUACGAAUACAAGCACCUACUGAGGGUCAAUCCACAAUAUGCCACGUAUCCACUGGGUGGUUGUGCGUUGACUAGAAUCCUGCAAGCUGGAUGGCGUCCUUCUGGAUCCAAAACAAAAGUCUGACUAUAUAUAUAUUGGUGGAUUCAAUGAUAUCUCUACUGAAUGCUAUCACUAAAGCCAAGGGAUUUUAGAACACGCCACACAAGGAUGGAACUUGUUUUCGUGUAUUGACCAAUUAUUUCUAAAGAUCUCAAAAAAGCGGGUAGCAGGUGCUCCAUAUUUGGGCAAAUCAGGUUUGGUCAUAGCCGGUCAAAAGUUAAUCAGGAUGUUGUUACAGAAGACGGCCGUGUCUGUCACGGCCGAGAAUCCAUAAAUCUGGCGGGUGUCGUCUGCGGAGACGCCGUCGACCCAGUGGUGUUGCAAGAUGUCUUGCCAGGCAGUUUGCAUGUGUGAGCAGACGUUCCCGGUAUUGACUUGAGGAUUGACUAAUCGUCUCCGUUACUGUCGGCACUCCCGUGUCCUGGAAUAUACAUAAAUCGGUUUUCUACAUAAUGGUGCCACUUCACCCCCAGCAUCCUCCUGAGAGCCUUUGUAAUGCACGUUUGCACUCUUUUUAGUGACGAAUCACAGGCCGUGCCCCAGCAAGUGACUCCCCAGUUUAAAGUUGGAAAGACAAAGGCCUUAAAAAGCCGCACCUUGGCUUCAAGGGAUAGGCCGCUACCUGGACGAAGGAGCCAGUCCAUUUUGUCAAGUUUUGUUCUUGCUGAUCCACAAACUCGAUCAAUUUGUCCCUUCCAACAGAGGUGACGGUCUAAGGUAACUCCGAGGUACGUCACCUUACCUUCCUGCUUGAGCCUAUUCCCAUCGAUGUAAAGACUACGCGAACGGCCAGGGCGGAGAGCAAAUGUGGCAUGCUGCGUUUUGUCAACAUUAAGCGCAAUGUCCCAUCGAGAGGCCCAGCACUCAAAUUCGUCUAAGAAUGUCUGGACACGUCGGGAGGCAGACGUAGUGGUGCUACCAGCAGCAAGAAAUGCAGUGUCAUCUGCAUAUGUGGCCAGGAGUGUACCACGAGCAACUGGGCUUGGAAGACUUGUUCGUAUGAAACAAACUACACUAAACUAUAUGUAUUAUUAUAUUUUAAGCCGUUCAAAAUUGUAAGAUUAUUUUUACAUUUUGAAAUGGACUCUGCAUAAAAUAAGCGUGGCUGGCCGAGGUUCCUUUCUAUUUUAAAUUGAUGUUUUUUUUAUAUUUGGCAUAACG